CAGUCGCCGCGGUAAUACGAAGGGGGCUAGCGUUGCUCGGAAUGACUGGGCGUAAGGGCGCGUAGGCGGCGGCCAAGGUCAGGCGUGAAAUUCCCGGGCUCAACCUGGGGGCUGCGUUUGAUACUUGGUUGCUUGAGUGGGGAAGAGGGUCGUGGAAUUCCCAGUGUAGAGGUGAAAUUCGUAGAUAUUGGGAAGAACACCGGUGGCGAAGGCGGCGACCUGGUCCUUUACUGACGCUGAGGCGCGAAAGCGUGGGGAGCAAACAGGAUUAGAUACCCCUGUAGUCCCUGUCUCUUAUACA
rnacentral:rRNA from 1 species